rnacentral:rRNA from 1 species
UACGGAGGGGGGCGAGCGUUAUUCGGAAUUACUGGGCGUAAAGCGUGCGUAGGCGGUUUCUUAAGUCCGUUGUGAAAGCCCUGGGCUCAACCUGGGAACUGCAGUGGAUACUGAGAGGCUAGAGUGUAUCAGAGGAUGGUGGAAUUCCCGGUGUAGCGGUGAAAUGCGUAGAGAUCGGGGAGGAACAUCAGUGGCGAAGGCGGCCAUCUGGGACAACACUGACGCUGAGGCACGAAAGCGUGGGGAGCAAACAGG